AAUCCGUAUAGCUAAUGCAGCUAUCGAGUUCAGGACGAGGUGGUUUUCCGAAGUCCGUCUCCUCCUCUGGUCGGGACGAUUUCAAGAUGGCGUCACUGGUCCGAGUCAAGGAAGACGCACUGGAAUAAAACAGAUCCAGACGCUGACUUCUUUGACGAGGCUGCAGAUCAGGUUUCCUUCCAAGGACUCUUCCAUGCAGCUGUUUGCACAUCAGUGGAACAAAACACCAACGCUCCAGUGUCAGAUGAACCGUCAUACUGUUAUAAAACGUUCAGCUUUACCCUCCAGAAACGAUAACUUUUUGGACUUUUAAAAGAACAAAGGGUCUUGAAAUGAAAGAGAGUCAAGGCAGAUCUGCACCUGUAACCAAAGCCCGGUGGAUAGCGGCCUAAUUACCGCUCUCAUCUGGCACCCAGCUGCCUUCCUCGUCCUCGCCUGAACCCGGCGGAGGAAGACGAAGGCGUUAGUGAGUUAAAACGAGCCCGAAAAGCUGCGUGUCCAAGCAGAGGAGAAGGUCAGGACAUCAGGACACACUGGAUCUACAGUUACAUGGUCAGCCGCUGACGACAGCUCACACUUCUGUCAUGGAGGCAGGUAUCACUGUCCUCUAAUCCCAGCAGCUCCUGUUUUUAAACCCGGCCAUGCAGGAGCUGUCAGCGGCCAAACAUCAGGCCGAGCUGGAGGUGGACGGGUUCAGACUGAAACUGGUUCAUCACUGCACUGUAAAAUCUGCAGCAAGAGUCCCAGAAAAAUGGUUCAAAAAUGUAACAAACGGGGAACACAAUGACAAAUAACAGCUUUGAAAAAAGAUAUGUAUCAUUUUUAAAUCAUAAUAUUUGUACUAUUUCAUGAAGUUGUCUGACAAAUAAUUGCAAAAUAAAAUUAUAUUUUUUGCUGAUUUAUAUACAGUAAAAACUGUGCAACUUUUCACACACAUAUUGUAAAAGAAUAAAUGAAUACAUUUUUUGGAAGAUUUUUACUCCUUUUAAAAAAAAAUAUUGACAAGAAUUUUCUUGCCAAAUUCAGGGGAUUUUAUUUUUUACAAAACUUUUAAGGGAAACUUUUAAGGAAUUAUUGGAAUUUAAUUUUCUUCCUGAAGGUUUUGCAAAUUUUCAGAAAUCUAGGGAAUUUUUUUGCUGAAUUUUUGGAUUAUUUUCAGACAAGGAAACAAUAUUUUUUGGUGCCCGUAAAUGAGGACAACAGGAGGGUUAAACAUUGUAAUUUAGCUAAAAAUGGAAAAUGUGUCAACAUUCUUUCACUUCUUCUACAGUGCCAUAUAUAAAUGUGAAACACUGGAAAAUAACCGUCCAACCUUCUGUGCUUGAAUAAAGCUGGAAUAAACAAUAUUCCUGCACCGGAGUGAAUUUUUUCCACCCCAAAUGGACGUACUGAACCUGGCGGAU